rnacentral:rRNA from 1 species
UGGGGAAUAUUGCACAAUGGGCGCAAGCCUGAUGCAGCCAUGCCGCGUGUGUGAAGAAGGCCUUCGGGUUGUAAAGCACUUUCAGCGAGGAGGAAGGUGGUGAACUUAAUACGUUCACCAAUUGACGUUACUCGCAGAAGAAGCACCGGCUAACUCCGUGCCAGCAGCCGCGGUAAUACGGAGGGUGCAAGCGUUAAUCGGAAUUACUGGGCGUAAAGCGCACGCAGGCGGUUUGUUAAGUCAGAUGUGAAAUCCCCAGGCUCAACCUGGGAACUGCAUUUGAGACUGGCAAGCUAGAGUCUCGUAGAGGGGGGUAGAAUUCCAGGUGUAGCGGUGAAAUGCGUAGAGAUCUGGAGGAAUACCGGUGGCGAAGGCGGCCCCCCUGGACGAAGACUGACGCUCAGGUGCGAAAGCGUGGGGCAGCAAACAGGAUUAGAUACCCUGGUAGUCCACGCCUGUAAACGAUGUCNAUUUUGGAGGUUGUGCCCCUUGAGGCGUGGCUUCCGGAGCUAACGCGUUAAAUCGACCGCC